rnacentral:rRNA from 1 species
CCUACGGGAGGCAGCAGUGAGGAAUAUUGGUCAAUGGACGAGAGUCUGAACCAGCCAAGUAGCGUGAAGGAUGACUGCCCUAUGGGUUGUAAACUUCUUUUAUAUGGGAAUAAAAUGUUCCACGUGUGGGAUUUUGUAUGUACCAUAUGAAUAAGGAUCGACUAACUCCGUGCCAGCAGCCGAGGUAAUACGGAGGAUCCGAGCGUUAUCCGGAUUUAUUGGGUUUAAAGGGAGCGUAGGUGGAUUGUUAAGUCAGUUGUGAAAGUUUGCGGCUCAACCGUAAAAUUGCAGUUGAAACUGGCAGUCUUGAGUACAGUAGAGGUGAGCGGAAUUCGUGGUGUAGCGGUGAAAUGCUUAGAUAUCACGAAGAACUCCGAUUGCGAAGGCAGUUCACUGGACUGCAACUGACACUGAGGCUCGAAAGUGUGGGUAUCAAACAGGAUUAGAUACCCCUGUAGUC